rnacentral:misc_RNA from 1 species
GAUGAAGAACGUAGCGAAAUGCGAUACGUAAUGUGAAUUGCAAAUUCAGUGAAUCAUCGAGUCUUUGAACGCACAUUGCGCCCCCUGGUAUUCCGGGGGGCAUGCCUGUCCGAGCGUCAUUGCUGCCCUCAAGCACGGCUUGUGUGUUGGGCCCCGUCCUCCGAUCCCGGGGGACGGGCCCGAAAGGCAGCGGCGGCACCGCGUCCGGUCCUUGAGCGUAUGGGGCUUUGUCACCCGCUCUGUAGGCCCGGCCGGCGCUUGCCGAUCAACCCAAAUUUUUUAUCCAGGUUGACCUCGGAUCAGGUAGGGAUACCCGCUGAACUUAAGCAUAUCAAUAAGCGGAGGA